UACGUAGGGUGCGAGCGUUAAUCGGAAUUACUGGGCGUAAAGCGUGCGCAGGCGGUUUUGUAAGCCCAGAUGGUGAAAUCCCCGGGCUUAACCUGGGAAUGGCAUUUGGGACUGCAAGGCUUGAGUGCGGCAGAGGAGACUGGAAUUCCUGGUGUAGCAGUGAAAUGCGUAGAUAUCAGGAGGGAACACCGAUGGCGGAAGGCAGGUC
rnacentral:rRNA from 1 species